rnacentral:rRNA from 1 species
UUUGCCUACGGGGGGCAGCAGUGAGGAAUAUUGGUCAAUGGGCGAGAGCCUGAACCAGCCAAGUCGCGUGAGGGAGUACUGCCCUAUGGGUUGUAAACCUCUUUUGUCGGGGAGCAAAAGCCGGACGUGUCCGGCUGUGAGAGUACCCGAAGAAAAAGCAUCGGCUAACUCCGUGCCAGCAGCCGCGGUAAUACGGAGGAUGCGAGCGUUAUCCGGAUUUAUUGGGUUUAAAGGGUGCGCAGGCGGUCUGUUAAGUCAGCGGUCAAAGCCCGGGGCUCAACCCCGGCCCGCCGUUGAAACUUGCA